rnacentral:tRNA from 1 species
GUAGCUCAGUUGGGAGAGCGCCUGCCUGGCAUGCAGGAAGCCCUGGGUUUGAUUCCCCCAAC